rnacentral:ncRNA from 2 species
GGUUAUGACUUGGCUUCCGGUCCUUCCUGCGCGGGCGCAAGCCCCAAUGGGAAGGCGAAAGUCGGAAUGCGGUGGGGGAGGACCCAAUCCGGGCUCCCGAAUCCGCAGCUGCCCCCGCAACUGUAAGCGGCGAGCCCCCUUGCGCAGACCACUGGACACGCUUCGUGUCCGGGAAGGGCAAAGGACCGGCGACGACCCGCGAGCCAGGAGACGAGCCGGAACGGGAAAAACGUC